rnacentral:rRNA from 1 species
AAUUGGAGGGCAAGUCUGGUGCCAGCAGCCGCGGUAAUUCCAGCUCCAAUAGCGUAUAUUAAAGUUGUUGCAGUUAAAAAGCUCGUAGUUGAAUUUCGGGAUCAGUACGUCGGUCGUGCCUUCGGUAUGCACUGGUGUCACUGGUUUCUCCCUUCUGACGAACCGUCAUGCCAUUAAUUUGGUGUGGCGGGAAAUCAGGACUGUUACUUUGAAAAAAUUAGAGUGUUUAAAGCAGGCUCACGCUUGAAUACAUUAGCAUGGAAUAAUGAAAUAGGACGUUGAUCUUAUUUUGUUGGUUUCUAGGAUUGACGUAAUGAUUAAUAGGGAUAGUUGGGGGCAUUAGUAUUCAAUUGUCAGAGGUGAAAUUCUUGGAUUUAUUGAAGACUAACUACUGCGAAAGCAUUUGCCAAGGAUGUUUUCAUUAAUCAAGAACGAAAGUUAGGGGAUCGAAGACGAUCAGAUACCGUCGUAGUCUUAACCAUAAACUAUGCCGACUAGGGAUCGGAUGAUGUUAAUUUUUUAAUGACUCAUUCGGCGCCUUACGGGAAACCAAAGUGU